AGCUGUUUCUCUUUUCCACUCCGAUACCUUCUCUUGGAGAGAAGAAGUAGCAGCGAUGUCGCAGCAAGGUCAAAUUCCGAUAAACCCCAUGGUCGCUCCGCAGAACCCUAUGGCUGCCAUGCAGGUUCCCAUGCCCAUGCACAUGCAGAUGCAGAUGCAGAUGCCCAUGCCAUUACCCAUGCAGAUGCAGAUGCCUCUCCCCAUGCCGCUCCAGAUUCCCUUCUCCAUCCACGACCCCGCCACCCCCUCCUCCGGGAAGCGCCGUCGCGACGACGAGGCUCCCGGAACCGCUGCCGCGACGGAGCAGUCUGCGCCGAAGCGCGUCAAGGGACAGGACGUCAUAUUCAGGAUCGUCGUGCCCUCGCGCCAGAUCGGCAAGGUCAUCGGGAAGGAAGGGUGCCGCAUACAGAGGAUUCGAGAAGACACCAAAGCAACCAUCAAGAUCGCUGACGCUAUUGCCAGACAUGAAGAGCGAGUUAUCAUUAUUAGUUCCAAGGAUAAUGAUGAAAAGGUUACUGAUGCAGAAAAAGCUCUUGAGCAAAUAGCCCAUUUAAUUUUAAAGGAAGAUGAUAGCAGUCUUGAUUUGUCAAAAGUUGCAGCAGGACAUGUGGCUGCCAAUACAAUUAGACUUUUGAUUGCUGGGUCCCAGGCAGGUGGAUUAAUUGGGAUGUCUGGUCAAAACAUUGAGAAAUUGAGGGACUCUUCUGGUGCCUCGAUUACUGUUCUUGCACCAAAUCAGUUGCCUUUAUGUGCGUCUGCCCACGAAUCUGACAGAGUAGUGCAGUUAUCAGGAGAUGUUACUUCGGUAAUGAAGGCUUUGGACGAGAUAGGUUGUCAACUAAGGGAAAACCCACCAAGACAAGUGAUUUCAAUUAGUCCAACAUACAAUUAUGCUGCAAUUCGACCAUCCCAACCAUAUCUUGACCCAACUUCAGGACAACCAAUCUUGCAGUUGAUUAUGUUACAUUCGAGAUGCUGAUUUCGGAAACGAUGGUUGGUGGAUUGAUUGGCCGAUGUGGCUCAAACAUAUCAAGGAUCAGAAAUGAAUCUGGAGCAAUGAUCAAGGUUUAUGGUGGUAAGGGUGAACAAAAGCAUAGACAAAUUCAAUUUGGUGGUAGUGCUCAACAGGUAGCUUUGGCAAAACAGAGAGUCGAUGAAUAUAUUUAUUCUCAGUUGAUACAACAGACUGGCACCCAACAGUCAGCGGAGUAAUUUUUAUGAGAAAGGACCAAAAUUUAAAAGAUUUCUGGUCUAUUCAGCUUCCAGAGAUGACACCAAGAAAGCCAAAAUGUGUAGUUCCUGCUCGGAAUCCAGCUACCUUGGGGGCUUAUUAUUUGUGUUAGUAAGAUGUGUUUGAUGGAUAUAAUUUGUUUUAGUGGAUGUUCAAACUUUUCUCAGCUUGUACCGUAUCAAUUGUUCUUAGUUGAAGGUAUAUAUAAUUUUUUCUAUACAUAAAUAUGAAUGUGUAAAAUGUAACGUUUAUUUCUGUUGAUAUGGCUCUCACUGGUUUCGAGUGGUA